rnacentral:tRNA from 1 species
GGGCGAUUAGCUCAGGGGCGGAGCGCUUGACUCACAUUCAAGAGGUCGCUGGUUCAAAUCCAGCAUCGCCCACCA